CCUACGGGAGGCAGCAGUAGGGAAUAUUGCUCAAUGGGGGAAACCCUGAAGCAGCAACGCCGCGUGGAGGAUGAAGGUUUUCGGAUUGUAAACUCUUUUUGUUAGAGAAGAUAAUGACGGUAUCUAACGAAUAAUCACCGGCUAAAUCCGUGCCAGCAGCCGCGGUAAUAAGGAGGGUGCAAGCGUUACUCGGAAUCAGGGGGCGUAAAGAGCGCGUAGGCGGGAUAGCAAGUCAGAUGUGAAAUCCUAGGGCUUAACCAUAGAACUGCAUUUGCAACUGUUAUUCUAGAGUAUGGGAGAGGUAGGUGGAAUUCGUGGUGUAGCGGUAAAAUCCGUAGAGAUCAAGAAGAAUACUCAUUGCGAAGGCGACCUGCUAGAACAUAACUGACGCUGAGGCGCGAAAGCGUGGGGAGCAAACAGGAUUAGAUACCCCAGUAGUC
rnacentral:rRNA from 1 species